rnacentral:rRNA from 1 species
UACGUAGGGUGCGAGCGUUGUCCGGAAUUAUUGGGCGUAAAGAGCUUGUAGGUGGUUUGUCGCGUCUGCCGUGAAAGUCCGGGGCUCAACUCCGGAUCUGCGGUGGGUACGGGCAGACUAGAGUGAUGUAGGGGAGACUGGAAUUCCUGGUGUAGCGGUGAAAUGCGCAGAUAUCAGGAGGAACACCGAUUGCGAAGGCAGCUCGCUGGAACGUAACUGACGCUGAGACGCGAAAGCGUGGGGAGCAAACAGG